AUUGAACGCUGGCGGAAUGCUUUACACAUGCAAGUCGAACGGCAGCACGGGGGCAACCCUGGUGGCGAGUGGCGAACGGGUGAGUAAUACAUCGGAACGUGCCCAGUCGUGGGGGAUAACGUAGCGAAAGCUACGCUAAUACCGCAUACGAACUCUGGUUGAAAGCGGGGGAUCGCAAGACCUCGCGCGAUUGGAGCGGCCGAUGGCAGAUUAGGUAGUUGGUGGGGUAAAGGCCUACCAAGCCGACGAUCUGUAGCUGGUCUGAGAGGACGACCAGCGACACGGGGACAGAGACACGGCCCAGACUCCUACGGGAGGCAGCAGUGGGGAAUUUUGGACAAUGGGCGCAAGCCUGAUCCAGCCAUUCCGCGUGCAGGAUGAAGGCCCUCGGGUUGUAAACUGCUUUUGUACGGAACGAAACGGUCCUGGUUAAUACCUGGGGCUAAUGACGGUGCCGUAAGAAUAAGCACCGGCUAACUACGUGCCAGCAGCCGCAGUAACAC
rnacentral:rRNA from 1 species